UACGUAGGGUGCGAGCGUUAAUCGGAAUUACUGGGCGUAAAGCGUGCGCAGGCGGGUUUGUAAGCCAGGGGUGAAAUCCCCGGGCUCAACCUGGGAAUGGCAUUUGGGACUGCAAGGCUGGAGUGCGGCAGAGGAGACUGGAAUUCCUGGUGUAGCAGUGAAAUGCGUAGAUAUCAGGAGGAACACCGAUGGCGAAGGCAGGUCUCUGGGCUGACACUGACGCUCAUGCACGAAAGCGUGGGGAGCAAACAGG
rnacentral:rRNA from 1 species